rnacentral:lncRNA from 1 species
AAUUGAUUUGUGUCUGUUUACUCACCCUCCAAAAUCGUUUUAAUCUGUUCACCCCGGGCAGUUUGGAGGCGUUCAUCCCUGUGAAGAUGGGUCUGGAGUCCUGGAUUGGAAACCAUGCUCUGCUCUGAGAAAGACUCGCUCAUGUUCAUCUCAACUCAGUCACCAGCCUGAAGCUGAGGGCCCUGAUGCUCGGCUGCCUCCGGCUCCUGAGUUGGCUCUGACCCUGGACAGGGGUUGGGAGCAGGAAGAAGCUGCCCAAACCUUCUUGGUUUGGAAGGACCACAGGGAGGGCAGAGCUGCAGCUACAUGGGUGAAGGCCUCAGUGGGCCCGGCUGUGCGUGCCCUCACACCUCAGUCACACUGACUGCUGUGCUGUUCCUGGAUGGAUGGACGUGCUCAUGGCCCACGCCUGGUUUUACUGGAAAAUGUAUAAAAUUCUGUGUAUAACUGGGUAAAUCACCAUUGUUUGACCCCCACUGGAUUAAACAUGAAGCUGUGGACUGAAGUAGGGACUCUGGAGGAGAGAGAGAGGAGAAAGGAGACGGGGAAGAGAGGAAGUAGGGAAGGGAGAGGAAGAAGUCAUGAUGUCAUAAGGAACGGGCACACAAAGGGAAAUAAAUCAGACGCAGAAGGUUAAACAUCACAUGGUUUCUGUUAUACGAGACACUCCAUAUAUAAAUAAUUUAAAGAGCAAAAUAAAAGAUAGAUGACAGGAAACAGGGAGACAGACUUUGCAGAGAUGGGAAGGGGAUCAAGAGAUGAGGAGACUGGAGGAAAGGGAACAGGAAGAGGAAGAAAAAAUGAUUAAGAUGUGAUAUGCAUAUGUCAUUAUUAUGAAUCACAAAUAUAUACAGAGAGAGAGAGAG